AUACGUAGGUGGCAAGCGUUAUCCGGAAUCAUUGGGCGUAAAGGGUGCGUAGGCGGCUUCUUAAGUUUGUAGUGAAAUCGUAGGGCUCAACUCUAUCUAGCUACAAAAACUGGGAGGCUGGAGUGCGGUAGAGGCUAGUGGAAUUCCUAGUGUAGCGGUAAAAUGCGUAGAUAUUAGGAGGAACACCGGUGGCGAAGGCGACUAGCUGGGCCGUAACUGACGCUGAGGCACGAAAGCGUGGGGAGCAAAUAGGAUUAGAUACCCUAGUAGUCCACGCCGUAAACGAUGAAUACUAAGUGUUGGAGAAAUUCAGUGCUGCAGUUAACGCAAUAAGUAUUCCGCCUGGGGAGUAUGCACGCAAGUGUGAAACUCAAAUGAAUUGACGGGG
rnacentral:rRNA from 1 species